AAAACGUACCUAAACAGAAAAGUAUUGCGUUAUCUACAAUGCACAUCUUGAAAAAAAUCCUACGUAUUCAACCAAUGCAUGUAAAAAUAUAAGCAAGUAAAAUUUUCAUACAUUUUUUUUAUAGUACGGAUAAUCAGGACAUGCAAUAAUAGCAAAUUUAACCUUUUAUCACUGACGCCAUCACAUCUUGUAGCCCCUUCCGGCCUUCCCUACCACGGUAUCAGCUGGACCCAGGAAGCUUUGUGAUGGUCAGGCGUGUGGAUGAAGAUAAUACAAGAAAGAAACGGCGAGAAAGAAAGGAGAUUGAUGAAGAGGAAAUGAGAAAGGGAAACGGAAGAGGAUGAGGAACCAAGGAACAAUAUUUAGCGGGACGGUGGUGCACUCCAGUGUAGAGGAUGUCGCCGGGCCAACACUGCGCCCAGCAGGAUGAAACACGGCCACCUCUGCACUGAACAACUUGUGUCGAGAGAUGUGCCUUAGUCCGUCCACUCAGUCUCACCAUUCCUGUUGGCUGUGUGAUGCCAAGGUGAAUAUUUGUUCAUGUUCAGCAAUGAAAUGUUCAAAUAGUUGUUAGUGGAAUAAGGAUGGUUUUUGGUCAUCUCACUCACAUGCCAUUUCACCCAUAAGACUUUUCACCCACAAUGUAGGAGUCAAUUUGCCCACAUAUAGGAGUCAGUUCGCCCACACAUUAGAGACAAUUUACUCACAUGUAAAGGUCAGUUCACCCACAUAUAAGAGACAAUUUACCCACAUAGGAUUCAAUUCACCCACAUAUAAGAGACAAUUUGCCCACAUAGGAUUCAAUUCACUCACAUAUAAGAGACAAUUCGCCCACAUAUAAGUUCAUUCUCCACACAGUUAGUUAGUUUAUUGAUCAAAAACAAACCACAGUUACAUGAUGUAUCAAAAAUGGGGAAAGGAACAUAUCAUAUACUAAAACCACGGAACACAUGAAAAUAUAUGGCACUAAAAGCAGUCACAAAAAAACAACUUAUUUAUUUAUGAUACCAAUGGAAAAUAAUAUGAAAUAAAUAAAAAGUCAUGGAAGUUGUAAAUGAUAAUUGAUAACACUGUCUAUAGCAGCGAAAGAGUCAGAAUGUUCAAAGCACUGGGGUCUCCAAGCAUAUGGGUUCGAAUCCUGUCCACGGUUCGAGUGUAGGUUGGGCUUCCUUACUCGGGGUAAUGGUUUCCUAGUG